rnacentral:lncRNA from 1 species
GACAUUGUUGGCAACAUUUUGUGCAAUGAUAUUUUCAUUCAAAUAAAUUCAUGUUAAACAUUUGUUUUUCCAUUUGUUUUUCCUUUUUGCUUUUUGCAUGAAAUUGGUGAUCACAAAAAACCUUUAAAAACAAGAAUAAAAGCAAUCUUUUCAUCUGCAUAACGAUUGUCUUGUUUGAUUUUCAAAAAGCUUUUCAUAUCAAAAUCAUUAUGCAGGUUGUUUCUUAAACCCAUUGAACAUAAUGAUCGGACGUCAUCUCCCAAUUUUGAAUCCCCUGUAUUCGAAGCGGAAGAAGAUGAUGUUGAAGGGAUUCCUGACGAGAUCUCCCGACUUCUUGAGCAAGAAAAGAAGAUCACACUCAGCUGCAUCUCGAGAAUCAGCAGAACAGCCAACUGGGGCAUUAAUCAAAAAAAAA